UACGUAGGUGGCAAGCGUUGUCCGGAUUUACUGGGCGUAAAGAGCGCGCAGGCGGUCGAAUAAGUCGAAUGUGAAAGCCCCCGGCUUAACUGGGGAGGGUCAUUCGAUACUGCUCGACUCGAAGGCAGGAGAGGGUAGUGGAAUUCCCGGUGUAGUGGUGAAAUGCGUAGAUAUCGGGAGGAACACCAGUGGCGAAGGCGACUACCUGGCCUGUUCUUGACGCUGAGGCGCGAAAGCUAGGGGAGCAAACGGG
rnacentral:rRNA from 1 species